rnacentral:rRNA from 1 species
CAACCUAAGAGUUUGAUCCUGGCUCAGAACGAACGCUGGCGGCAGGCUUAACACAUGCAAGUCGAAGGUGAAGCGGGGCUUCGGCCCCGUGGAAACUGGCGCACGGGUGAGUAACGCGUGGGAAUCUACCCUGGGGUGGGGAAUAACCGUUGGAAACGACGGCU